GACGAACGCUGGCGGCGUGCUUAACACAUGCAAGUCGAACGGUGAUGGCCAGCUUGCUGGUCUGAUCAGUGGCGAACGGGUGAGUAACACGUGAGCAACCUACCCCAGACUCUGGAAUAACCAUGGGAAACGAUGGCUAAUACCGGAUACGAGACGCACACGCAUGUGUGGUGUCUGGAAAGAUUUAUCGGUCUGGGAUGGGCUCGCGGCCUAUCAGCUUGUUGGUGGGGUAGUGGCCUACCAAGGCGACGACGGGUAGCCGGCCUGAGAGGGCGACCGGCCACACUGGGACUGAGAUACGGCCCAGACUCCUACGGGAGGCAGCAGUGGGGAAUAUUGCACAAUGGGCGCAAGCCUGAUGCAGCGACGCCGCGUGAGGGAUGACGGCCUUCGGGUUGUAAACCUCUUUCAGCAGGGAAGAAGCGAAAGUGACAGUACCUGCAGAAGAAGCGCCGGCUAACUACGUAC
rnacentral:rRNA from 1 species